CUCAUUUAGAGGCUCAAGCAGAUUCAGUAAAAUGUAAGUGGGUUUGAAAAAAAAGGAUCAAAACUUAAAAAUAAAAAGAAAUACUUGCAGGUACGUGAGCAGAGACGGAAGUUGAGAGGAUGAAGGGAAAACACAAAGAAACAUCUGUGACAUCAUUUUUCUUGCUGAAGGUCUCUGAUGGACUAGAGGCGCCAGAGUUCUGCUCCCCUCCCCCGAGAGCGCUGGGUCUCAGGAGUGCUGGAGGUGUGCGAGGUCCAACUGUGCAAGGGUAGCACAUCCCACAGUGAUCUGGGACUUCCAACAUCAAUCAUCAGUCAAGAAAAUUCCCUACAGACCAAGCUGAAAGGAAGUGUUUUUUCUUAUUAUUGCUUUCAAACAUAUGAUUAAGUGAAAUAAAAUUAAAAAGAUGUUUUCCCUGUUUUCCCUCUUUCUUUCCGGAACUCCGAAUAAGUGCCGCCUCCCUUUAGCCCUCAAAUAUCAUUCUUCCUGAUAAUUGAGAGACUUUAUUCUUUUGGUUUAAUUAUUAUUCGUGUGUGUGUGUGUGUGUGUGUGUGUGUGUACACAUAUAUACUUACAACCU
ensembl:lncRNA